rnacentral:sRNA from 1 species
GAAAUGGGGGAUCUCAUCGCUUGUGAGUAGAGGAGACUUUGGGGGGAAAGUGAUGGAGGAUGGGGCAAGGGAUCCGGUGUCCAACUCUGUGUGUCCCUGCAGCUCCGUAAGCCCAGCAGGGAAGAGGACCUCCUGGCCCCUAAGCAGGCGGAAGGCAGGUGGCCGCCGCCGGAGCAAUGGUGCAAACAGCUCUUCUCCAGUGUGGUCCCCGUGCUGCUAGGGGACCCAGAGGAGGAGCCGGGUGGGCGGCAGCUCCUGGACCUCAAUUGCUUUUUGUCCGACAUCUCGGACACUCUCUUCACCAUGACUCAGUCCGGCCCUUCGCCCCUGCAGCUGCCGCCUGAGGAUGCCUACGUCGGCAAUGCUGACAUGAUCCAGCCGGACCUGACGCCACUGCAACCAAGCCUGGAUGACUUCAUGGACAUCUCAGAUUUCUUUACCAACUCCCGCCCCCCACAGCCGCCCAUGCCUUCAAACUUCCCAGAGCCCCCCAGCUUCAGCCCCAUGGUUGACUCCCUCUUCAGCAGUGGGACC